rnacentral:rRNA from 1 species
AUUGAACGCUGGCGGCAGGCCUAACACAUGCAAGUCGAGCGGAGCGGCGGACGGGUGCGUAAUACUUAGGAAUCUGCCUGUAGUGGGGGAUAACGUCCGGAAAAGGGCGCUAAUACCGCAUACUUUCAGAUGUGCCUAGGUCGGAUUAGCUAGUUGGUGGGGGAAAGGCCUACCAAGGAGACGAUCCGUAACUGGUCUGGGAGGAUGAUCAGUCAAACUGGAACUGAGACACGGUCCAGACUCCUACGGGAGGCAGCAGGGGGGAAUAUUGGACAAUGGGCGAAAGCCUGAUCCAGCCAUGCCGCGUGUGUGAAGAAGGUCUUCGGAUUGUAAAGCACUUUAAGUAGGGAGGCGUUACCAACAGAAUAAGCACCGGCUAACUUCGUGCCAGCAGCCGCGGUAAUUC